CUAAAAGCGAUGAACAGGAGGAGUAGGCGGCAAACGGCUUAACAGAGAGGGGAAAUCGGCGGCUGGAAGUUUCCCUUAAGUAUCGAGCUGCUGAAGGUAGCCUGGGAGUUCUGGAGUUGAAAGGAGGAAGCUUCUAAAUUUAAAGCUUCUCUCAGUAGAUUUCAGCGGUACAGAGCCGUUAUUUCGAAGCUUUAUAAGGACAGUUGCGUCUUUAUAAAGGCUGAGCUGCCCAUAAAUUUAUGGGAAUUUUGGUGGUAACGCGGAAGACAGUCUUUCGUCCAAUUG
rnacentral:ncRNA from 1 species